AACAGUUUGAGACGGAGUUCCUGUUUCCUCGUAUACAAACUGUGGCAUGAGUUUGUUAUUCACUGAAUGACUACAGUCUCAGCGCGUUUCUAGUCGGCUGGCGGCAUGUGCAGUUGCAAAUGAAGCAACGAAGCUCAGAUAAGAUAAAGUUGCUUAUAUCAGAUUAAAGUAUCGGAGAAGCGCACAAACGUUUGAUUUGAAUAGUAACUUUAUUUACAGAUUAUCAAGGAUGUUGCCCGAAACAAAAAAGCGCCGUUUUCGCAACUACAAGUGAAUGUGUCAUAAAUAUUACAUAAGCCAUAAACUUAUAUAAUCUGAUACCACACUACGUAACGUGAACGAGCGUUGACCUUUCACAAAUUCUGCCCAACCUACCACAGUACCAAGCAAGACAUUGUUCAUUUCGUUGAAGUGUUAAGCAAUCCAAACCGUUUAGAAUUACAUCGAAAAAACUCUGAACUCAUCAGAACGUCACCGAUGAUCAUUACAUCCUGUAUUGUGUGUUACCUUCGCAAAAAUCAGUAAACGUGGGAGGUGCAAAUACUUAACAGAAAACUAAUAACAAACAAAACUGAUGUUUAAAAUAUGGAUUAGAUAUGGUACAAAUAAAAUAAAUACAUCAAA